rnacentral:lncRNA from 1 species
CUCAAACAAGUCUUGCAGCCUUUUGGCCGUGAAUUUCCAGCAAAAAGGCACAAUCUCAACCGGCAUAGCGAGCCCACUGCCCCCCAAAUGCUUAACAAGCUUGGACUCAUCAACGAUAACCACAAAUUUCCUACAAGCACCUUCAACCAUCUUUUCCCUCAAUAGCGACCCACCUCGGCCUUUGACCAAAUUGAGCUGGGGAUCGACCUCAUCGGCGCCAUCGAUCGCGAGAUCAAGAACAGGGUGCGAAUCGAGGUCCGACAAUGGAAUUCCCACGGACAGAGCUUGUUCAUGGGUCUUCUUAGAAGUGGGUAUUCCGACGAUGUUCUGGAGCUUUCCCUGGUGCAAAAGCUCACCGAUUCGGUCCACGGCGUGCUUAGCGGUGGAGCCGGUGCCAAGGCCGAGGACCAUGCCAGACUCGACAUACUCCACGGCUUUGUAGGCUGCGAUUUUCUUCAACUCGUCCUGGGUUAGAAUCACAGAGGGAAUGGGAGUAGAUAGAGGCGAGGAAGAGGUUGGGGAAGACACCAAAAUCCCAGCUUCCAUGGACCCAAUAACAAAAUGGGGGCAACAAGAAGGAUGCUAUUCAAAACCCAGAAUUGGGUUAGCCUAAAAAUGAAAAAGAAUCAAAACCCAGAAAAAAUGAAUGAAUUGAAAUAGUGUCCUUUCGAGUUAUUCAAGCAUGGCAGACAAAAAUAAACAGCAGGGUUUUGAAGGAAGAAGAAGGCCCAAACAAAAGAAAGAGUAUAGUGAUUAUCUAUCUAUCUAUCUAUCUAGAAAUGUGUGGCGGUCAGCAUUGGGGGAAAAGAAAGAGAGGAGAUAGGGUUUGUGAGGAGGCGAGUUGGGGGAAGGAGAUGUAUUUAUAGGGGAGAAGGGUCACGACUCAUGAAGGUGGUGGGAACUGGGAAAUAGGAGGGUUGGUUUAAAAAAGAAGGGAAUUUCUGAGGUUGCAUUGAAAAUUGAAAUUGGGGAAGAUUUGGGCAUAUUUCGUGGUGGGGAAAAUAUUCAAUAUCACCUAUGUCACUAUAUGGCAGCAUAGAAUUAUACAACCCUAUCCUGUGGAGCUCUAAUAUACAUUUUUUUUUUUAAAAACUAUUAUAUAUUGAAAAUUGAUUUUUUUACUUUAUUUGAAAUGUUAGUCUUUUCUUUUCUUUUCUUUUUUGGUGAAAACAUAAUUAAAACACAUAAAAGGGAAUUUUAUUUAUUUUUGCAAAUUCAUCAACUAUUAUAUAUUCAUUAACUUCAGUUCCAAGUCCGAAUAGGCUCUUCCGUGUUUUGUUGGAUUUAUUUUGAAAAAUCAGAAGUAACAAUUUCACGACUUUUUCUAAGCUUUUUACAGCUAGAGUGGAACUGCUCUCAAGUAGAAUAUCAUGGUAACUACCCACUAAUUUUUAUAUUUAUAAUGUUCGAGGUUUCUAUAUAUUUUUUUUUUAUAACAGUUUUGAGUAUUUAGUUUCAUUGAAAAAAUAUAUAUAUUGAGUUUUUUUUUGUUUUUUGUUUUUUUUGGUAGAAACAAGAGUAUUUAGUCUGUCGUCAAUGCAACACGAGAUUUCAAAGUUCGAAUAAAACUCACACACUACACGGAUGUUAAUACUCGAACUCAAGGCCUUUCUUAAAAGAACAAUUGUUCCAAAUUAGUACACUAAUGGGUCCUUUGCGUAAACCAAACCCUACUCUUUGGAUGUUGAAAUCAGAGUUUGAAUAAAAACGUGUCAAGCCUUUAUAAGAAUAAGAAAGACGGUUAAUAUCAUCCAUCUAGAAUGCUAUUGUCUAUUUGUUGAGAACUUUUUAGGAAUAGGACAUCCAUUAUCAAUGGUCUUCACUUGAGUGUAGCGUUUUGAUAUAGAAUAAUAGAAAUAUAUCAUAUAUGAAUGGAAUCAGUUUAACACUUUUUAACGUGUUCUUUUUCAUUUUAAAGAAGCAUGGUGGGAAACAACGCAUGCUCUUAUCUUAUUACAAUUCUCCGCAUAAUAUUCUCAUCACUCAGAUUCCUUUCUUUUGGCACCCAAUCACCGGAUUUAAUAAAUAAUUCUAUACUUAACUAAUAUACAAAUUUUGAAAUAUUUUCAACCGAGUUUUGUUUAUUCAAACCAUUUUAUUAUUUAUUAUUAAGCAGCGGUGAUAUGUUAUUUUAUUUUAGUUUAUUUUGUUUGGUUUUCUUUUUUCGGAGCUUAGAAAGAAACUACGGAGAGUGCAGAAGAAAGCAUGUUUCUUGCAGUUUUUGAUGAUGACAUUAUAACGUGUGAUGUCCAUGAAAAAGACACUAGGCAUUGGCCGGGUAUCUUCUUGGGAACUCAAUUACUUGGUAUUGGCUUCGACCUCUGACCUUGUUCAUCAGUCUCUGGGCCAUUAGGUUUUUUUUCUCCCUCUCUUUUUGGUUAUUUAUGUGGAAAAAGAAGAAACCGACAGGAGUAUCAGGUUUUUCCUCGAUCUGUGUCUGUAAUUGAAUGGCCAUGUUUCAUUUCUUAUGAAUGCAUUCCAAAACAAGAUAUAUUCCACCUUUAUUCAGGUAACAGUUGGUAACAAAUUUCGAAUUGACCAUGCAAAAACAUGUUCUUCAUGUGCAAUUCAGCAAUGGUCAAGGUUCAACCUAGACUUUAAAUGAAGGCUUUUGCUUCAAUGUUCCAUUCUCAGUUAGAAAGUUGGGUCUAGUCAAAGUGCACCAAGAUAGGAGUUAGAUUUGUUUUUGGCAUGAAAGUUCUUCGCAAGUGAAGCCAUCUAAAUCCUACAUAAUCUUCACAAAUAUGGGUCAAUCUUUUUGAGGGCGCCGUGGAGAUGCUUCUUACCAAUAUACCUACCAUGUAAAAUAUCUGAAUGAAAUAGUAAUGGGUUUCAAUAAUAAAUGAAAAGUUCAAACAACUAUGUUUAGAAACUAAACUUGCUACGAAAGACGUUCAAAGAAAGUUAUGUCAAGUAGAAUAUAUUCUGGUAGCACCACCCAAACACUAUUAUGCUGUAGCAUAUAGACAAUUAAGGAUGCAUCUGCUUUUUGUGAUGAUCUUACACCGAUAACACAGAGUUCUGCAACUUAUGGUGCAAAUCUUCUUGUUCACAGCUCUGAUUUUUGUUUAAAGAAGCUCCACUCAUGUAAUCUAGAAGAAACUUUUGACGAUUAAGCAUAACUGACUUUUGAGAAAGCGAAAGAACAAAGCACAAUCCACUUCCAUCGCCAGUUCCAGAGUAGUUCGUUUAAAAAAACAAAUCCCAGAUUUAAGCCAAAUCUCAGACAUAUGUUACUAAUUUAAAGUAGAUAACAAUAUACAAAGAAAGGGAGAAGAGGGCAAACACAUGCUGCCAGAAGAGAAGUGCUGAGGCCUCGCUUACUGCAUAACCCCUCAAGCUCGCAAUUGCUCCCAAUAAAAUUGCGCUUGGUGUCGUGUACUGCAUCAAAAGCACAAACCUGUACAUUGCAUCGCCAUCAACCAGAAAAUUGAGCUUAUCAGCCAACGCCACAAUACCAAUGCCCAACAUAGGAAGCAAUAAAAGCCUUGCCACAGUUAUACCAAUAGUAGUUCGGAGCCCUAGAGUAGAAUCAUUUGGCCCCUCUGCAAGCAUACCCCCAAGAAUAAGCAUUACAGAAGGCACCAUUGCACCAGCUAAAAUCUCUAAGCUGUCUGUGAGGAAGGAUAGUGGAGCAUCAUCUCCGAAGAAAAAAGCCUUUAACAGAGGCACUGUCCCAAUAAUGAUGGCAAAUAGAGAAGCAAUUGUUGGGGGUUGCAGUAUGUGCCGUAUUGGAGUUUGUUCAGCAACAAUUCUCAUCCUCCUGACCACCCUAGGUUCAGCCAAACACCUAAUCGACCUGGGACUGUUUCCACCACCUUCUCCUGAGAGAUCAGCAUCUUGCAAAGUGCUCUGCGAAACACUUGAGAUGCUUUUGAAAACUCUAGCAAUAAAGGGUGUCUUGGAAUGCUCAGUUUCUUUUUCUUCAAUACCAGGCCAUUCAGCUUCUACAAGUAGAGGCCUACUCAUAUCGUUAGUUUGUGUUUCGUCAAUCUCAACCCCUUCUUCAACAAUCUCAUAAUACUCCAAUGGGGGUUCCAUCAUGUGGUAAACAAGGGUAUAAACAAGAAUUACAGCAACCCAUUGGGCGAAAGAAACAUAAGCCACCCCUCUAGAGUGACAAUGGGGUCCAAAUGGGUUCUUCGGAGUAUGACAGACAGAUCCAACAACGGCAAGUGGGAGAUUUCCAGUAUUCCCAAAUGCAGUCAUGAUAAUGGUAAAUCUGUUUAACUCUGCGGGCGGACGACAUAUGAUCACCACUAAGUACCCAAGCAAACAACCAAUAAGUGUACUCACUAGCACAUUAACUGGGAUAAACCACCACUGAACAAAGUUUUUGAGUGUAAUGGAUUCGCCUAGUUCAGUAAAGAUUAGACAUGGCAAGAACAAGGCAAAAACAAGCUUGCUGAGUAGCUUAAAAGUAGCUCUUGGAAUCAUUUGAGAUUUUGGGUGUGAAAGAACCAGUCCAAUGACCGUGAGUGACAAAAGUUUCAUCAAAGGUACUAUUGCACUCAUCACAUCCCCACUAUACUCCAAAUUAUCUCGGUACAAUUCCAUAAGAUACCGAGACAUCUUUUCUUUAAUUACUCAAAGAUGAAGUUCUUUCUGCAAUUAGUCAAACAAGAAUUCAAAUGAAUAAUCAACCAUUCAACAUAAAUAGUACCAGAAGACAAAUAUCUAAAACCGGACUAGAUAAAUUUGCGAGCGCACAAGAUGGAUUCAGCACAACUUCAAAGAAAACAAUGAGAUACAACGAGGGUUUAACAUAAUAUCACAAACCCAACAAAAAUUCUAUGAGGAUUUAACAUGGGUUUGCAGGAUUUUCACAAACCUUAACUCACCCAAGAAGAAAAGUGGGCGAUUCAGUACUGAAAUUAAACAAAAAUAUCAACAAAAUUUCAGUGCUCGGAGAGAGUGAGACUUACAAUUACAGAUAGAGGAUUGAAGAAAGACAAAGAAAAGCUUCACGGGCCAGGAAUUGGAAUUUACUGCUGAAGCUACCGGAUAAAGACUCGCCAGUACAAUGCCUUAGCAAACAAUUUUAAGCCAAAUACUCGACAAAGAGUAGGGUCCUUUUCAGAACAAUAAAAGAAACAAUGGGAACGGGUCGUGUUUUAUCUUGUGAAGUCAAAGAGGAAGAGAAGUUGGUUUUUUUAUUUGUUUCUUUUUAGCCAGGUGGCAUAUGUGGUUCUGAGUCUUUUGGUUCUCAUCAAAAUUUGCCAUGUCAGUUUGUGAUACUUUUAUUCAAAAUUUGCCAUGUGUCAUUUUUUAUAUUAAAAAAUAUAAAUUUUUACAGCUGGAUUUAAAACUUCUUUUUUAUAUUCAUAAUAAAACUAAAGAAAAAAUAAAUUAAAAAAGACAGAAAAGGACAAAGAAGACACCGGAAACCACCUCACACCCAACCCAACCCCUUACCCAGCACGGCCGCCCCUCCCUCUCCUACCUGUCUCUCUAAAACUGUAGGGUGUCUUGAACCCAUGGAAUACCACCUGCAAGAUAAUAUAAGCCUUGAAAAUGGGUCUAAUUUUAUUCAAUUACCAUUAACACCCAUCUCUCACCUCAACCUUUUUCAAAUCUGAUAGCAUCUGUCAACAAAUGAGCAGACCUUCAAAAAGAAGAAAUAUAGAUGGGUCUUUGGUAGCCACCAAAAGAGUGAGAAACAAGGAUUGUGCUAUGGUUAAUUUAUUGAAUUGCGUGAGAAGGCCACAAAGAGAGAGAGAGAGAAAGAGAUAGAGUGGAAGAGAAAGAGAGGGAGGGGCGGUGGCCAAAGGGAGGUUGCGCACGGUAAGAGAAUUGGUCGAGGUGGGUGGUUAUGUCUCUUUCCUGAUUUUUUAUCUUCUUAAUUUUAUUUCAAAAGAUAAUAAUGGGUUUUUUGUCUAGUUGGAAAAAAAAGCUUUACUUAUUUUAAAAAAUUACAUAUGGCAAAUUUUAAAUAGGAGUAUCACAAGCUGACAUGGUGGUACAGUCCUAUUCUAUAAUUUCUCCUCAUCAACGGAAGAGUGGGUUGGGAAUUGAGAAUUUUUCUUGUGCGUGGGUUUACACAAAUUGGGCAUAGCCUCUGGGCUUAUUGUUGUGGGCUGUAUCGUUCGUUUGGUCUGAUGAAAAAAACAAUAUACAAAAAAAUUCAGAAUAAAAGAGCAAAAAAGAAACAGGUUUAUUGCUGGCUAUGGGGUUCGAACCCAUGCGCACUUAUGUGCAGAAGAUCUUAAGUCUUCCCCCUUAACCUCUCGGGCAAACCAGCCGUUGUUGUCUUUUUCAACUCGAGUAUCAAUAAGUACGUACGAAACCAACUUGUAUUUUAUAUUUCCGCUCCCAAACCAAAUCUUACAAUUCUAGCUCCACUCUGAGAAAUAGUAUUAUAAUAGCACUAUGAUGAACAAGUCCUAAUUUUUUUUGGUAACAAGAAGUCCUAAUUUUUGGGGUCAAGUCUAUGAUAAAGAAGUGAGGGUGGAUGGAAAAGAAUAGGGCUGAAUAAAAGUAAGAAAAGGAAGAGGUGAAAAGACAAGACGUAGUGUUAUUAUCUCAUAUAUAUGAAAUGAGAUUCCCUGAUUCUUAGUUUUGUUGUAUAAUAAUUUGAUAAAGAAGAGCACAGUAAGAGGGCGUGAGUGAGACUGAGAGAAUGGUACUAGUACUGGCAGACACUACAAGUCAUCAAAACAUCAACAACUCCACAGAACAAGCUUCCCCAAUCUGCCAAAGAGUACACCGUCAUUUUUGGGAAAGCUUCCAUAUCUUGCGUAACAGUUGCUGUUUCCCAAUAUUCUCUGUUUACGACCCAAAACCAAACCCCUUUCUGUAACCAAACUUUGUUCAUGUAGGGGAGGAACCCUAGGGAAUGAGAUGGUUGGAAGGGAACUAGAUUGGUUGGGAUUGGAGAGAGAACCAGCUAUUCCUUUUCAUUUUUAGUUACAAGAGAACCAGCCUUUUUUAGCAGACCCUCUCUUUUAACGGUUGUCAUUAUGCCACAGGGAAUUGACAUUCAGACCACAAGGAAAUCAAUCAUUUUCAUCUACAGUACACGCACGUACGAAAAGGCAUAUAUACUAUUACCACGUUGGCAUAUUCAUCAUCAGCUUUGAGUCUUUUUUUAUAGGAUUAAUCGUUUUAUUUGUCCAUAAAUUUAGAUUCGAUUUGUAUUUGAGUUCUUCAGUUUUUAAAAUUCUUUCCGUGAUCCUUUUAACUUCACUUUCGUCAAAACAAAUGGUCAUAUCAUUAAUUUUGUUAACUUUUUUUGUUAAAUGCAUGAGCAAAAUUGUAUUUUUAUAUUGAAAAAAAAAAGAAGAAUGAAAAAUCAUAUAUUUAAAAUGACAAUAAAAGAAAAUCAAAUAAAAAACCAACCAAAAAAAAAAAUUUCAAGUUUGAGGAGAGUACAAAUCGGAAUAGAGAGAGAGAGAGAGAGAGAGUUUAAUUUUAAUUUUUUAUUCAUAUUUUAAUCAAUUUAAUACAAAAAUACCAUUUUACCCCUGCAUUUAACAAAAAAGUUAACAAAAUUGACCGUAUGCUCAUUUGUCCUAACGAAACUAAAGUUGAAGGACCAUAGAAACGAUUUUGGAAAUUGAGGGACUCAAAUACAAAUCGAGUCUAAAUUUAGAGACUAAUAAAACAAUUAACCCUUUUCAAAAUUAAACAUACACAAUUAAGAAUUCAUUGUAAGAAGCUUUUGAAUUAAUGAUACAAUAUCCUGUUAAGAUUUCAAAAGUACGACGACAUGCGUUUUACUACUAACAUGAUAUUAUUCGAAACUUAUUAAUCACUAAUUACAUAUAGUCCAACAGUUGUAAAGAGUUAUAUGUACACACUGUAUUAAUGCGUGAAACCAUUCAUUAUAGUUUAUAUAUUUUAUUUUGUCAAAUUUCAAAUGUCGUCAACACAUAGGCGGUGGUGUUGUGUAGGAUAUGAAUCUGAGUUUUACAUGUGUGUAUAUGGGGGUGGCAGCUUUAGAGCCACUAGAUAUGUGAGAGUUGGUCAGACAAUAUGUUGUGGUGAGUGAUCCAGCUGUCUGAUAAGAUAUAUAUUAGGGCAGCAUAGAUGGUACGAAAUUAGGAGACAUGUCUGUUUGAGUUGAAAGGGCCUUGAAAAUUUUCAAACAGGAUAUGAAUGUGAUGCCUGCCCUAAAUCUCCAUACCAGCCUGCAUUUAGAUCUGCAUGUUGGCGUUUUCACCUAAAUAUUUCUAUAUAUACCCCUCAACCUUCUCUUCCUUCCUCGUACUUCCCCUUUUCUUGGCUAUGCCCUCUAUUUCUCUCUUUCUUUCUUUUCCAUCCAUGGUGCUGCUCAUUCAUUAUUAAACUAGCUAGCAUGCAUGCAAAACUACUUUUGCAUUUCAGUGAAGGGCCAGCUAGCUAGCUCAAGCUCAAGAUAUCUAUUUAUGUUUCUCUUAUAUAUAUAUAUAUAUAUAUAUAUAUAUAUAUAUAUAUAUAUAGACUAUUGGAAAAGGGAGAAGAAAAAAAAAAACAGCAAAGCAAAAAAUGGAGAGCUAGUUAACGAUUAUGGAAUUAAGGAGCUCUUCUUCAGUCCAGUCCGAGGCAGUUUGAAGGCCGACACUCAGCUGCUGACUCGUUGGUUCAAGAACUCAUCAACUAAGCCAUACAGUUUAAGUGCGCUGAAAACAGUGGUGUGGUGUGUUUCUGAUCCAACGAAGCAGGAGCCGAUAGGUUGGUUAUUGCUGUCACGUCUUGGACUGAAGGGAGCUCCUUAAACCCUUAUUUCAUGUUCUUUCUGUCAAAUAUUUGAUUAAUUAUAUACCUAUGUAGCUUUAGCUUGCAUGUAAUAUGUAGUUAUCUUCUCUUCAUAUUCAUGGUAAUGGUUUGCUGACUCAUUAUUAUUUAUCUGUACUCUUUCCAGUAGCUCGAUCUUCAUGCAGAAAAGGCCAUGUUUUUGAGAGAUCAUCAGGAGCUGCAACUGCCUGCGGCUUACAGAUAACAGACUCACUAAUUCCCAGCUGGAGCAUUCAUUGAAAGAAAAUGAUAAUAAUUUGUUACCAGUUAAUUACUUCUUAUUAAGUCAACCCCAAAUUAUAUUAUUUCUCAUGUGCCUUCAAUUGAUAAUUUGGUUAGUUAUAAUUAUUGGAACUGCAUCAUCUGCUCUCUAAAUUGAUUCCUUAAUUUAACUGAACAUUGGCACACAUGCUAAUUAAGCAAAGGAAUACUCCGGCAAUCAUACAAUUGUUAGGUUUGUCUAGGAAGCAUUUAGUUAAUUCAGUUUUCUUUUAUACGAUUCUCUCUCUCUCUCUCUCUCUCUCUCUCUCUCUAAAUAAAAGAAGUAUUUUUCUUUUUAAUUAUGUCAAUUAAUAAUAUUAUAAAGACUGGUGCAGUUUUGCGAAACACAGGUACACCCUUUGGGAAUUUCUUAAAUAUUUGAAUAUAAAUAAAAGAUACAAAUAAGUUAAGGUUGUGGAGUUGCAGUGGCCGUCGAUCUUGUAAGCAUCCACAUUUGUUAAUUCCCCAAUCAUUUGCAAAAUGUGCCCUUUUUAUAAAUAAUAAAUAAAAAACGAGUGGGGCACAGGAAUAAUGGACCAAGUCUGGUUGAUAAUGAUAACAAAGCUAAUUCCAGCUAAGCCCAACUUAGAGGGUCCAAUAUAGCUCAACUGUAACGGGCACUUUCCAACUGUUAAUGACUUUAUAAUGGGCAACUCUAAAACUGAAGUGGGUUGUGUUGGAGCAAAAAACUCAACGCGUUGAGAUGAGAGUGAUUCUUUGAUAUCCUAGCGAAUUCACAUUUUAACGUGUCAUAGAUUAGUUUGUUUUAUAGAGGUAAACAUCUUGUAAGGUGAUUGAUUCCAACUUGGAUGCAAAAGGAUGGACACACUGUUUCGGUCAACUGUUCAAGAAUGUAUAUGUAUAUACAGGAGGAGCGCUUAAGAAGAAAACAACUCGAAAAAAGGCAAUACAUAAUUAAUUCUACGCAUGGAUAUAAUUAUGGAAGCUAGUUAAGAGUUAGGACCCCCUUUGUGAGAUCAAGUAAAUGGAAGAAAAGCAAAAGUGUUGAGGUGGGCAGGCUCAAGAUGAUCAAAGCCAUGGUUGCCAAAGCGAAGCUUGGUCUGGUGUUCAUCAACUGAGACUGCAAGAGACCCAUGAGUUGGCAUAUAGAAGAAUCGUAGGUGGUGUAAUAGCGCUUCUCCCAGUCGAGCCAGUCAGAGGGAGGCUCGUAGUUCCUCUCCACCAUCUUCAUCUCAUGAACCCUUUUCCUCAGAACAAUCAUGUUCUCAUCCACCAGCCUGCUCCUAUAGAAGUUUUGCCGGUACCGCUCAUGAUCCGCUUCUUUUCUGCUUGACGCAAAUACCCUUGUAGCAGACCGUGCAGCUCGCUUUUGAUGUCGAUCUAUGCCUGAAAAUGGGUUAAACGAGACAAUGGAAGAAGAAGAAGAAGAAAGGAGUGAAGUUGAUGCCAUUGCUAAUUAGCUAUAUUGGAUUUGGAAAUAUUGAGUUUAAUGUGGUAUUUGGUGGUGCUAGGCAUUUGUAUUUAUAGGCUUAACAAUAAUAAUUGAGAAAGUUUGUAGAUUAGGAAAAAUGAAGGGUGGUGGGGGCAUGUGACAUGCGACGUGCUGGAGAGGCAUUGUACGUACGAGGCACUCUUUGCCUUAAUAGCAAAGAAAGAAAGAAACUGUGGCUGCUAAAACCGUGUUUUUUAUAUUAUUUUAAGAGGCACUCGCACUUUUUAACGCGUAAAUUAUGUGGGAGAUUCGGAGAAGGUUAGGCCCUGUCAGUGUCACAAAACACAACACUUGGGAGAUUCGGAGGGCUCUGAUUCAAUCAAGCCAGCCAUCAUAGUUUAUCAUGAAUUCAAAUGUUUGGAUUGGAAGGGAACGAGUCGUUACGUUUGCGUAACAUGCAGCCAGUUUCACAGAACCCUUCCUUCCUCAAUAAAAAAACAUGGAAGGGGGAGUAAAUGUAAAGUAUUGGGGGAGGUUCUUGGGACCUUGGGAGGAGCAGCUAGCUGCGUGUGGGUCAUUGGAUUGACUUGGACGGCGUUUAUAUAGUUUUAUAUUUGGCAUUCCAAAUAAUAAUAUUAAUUUUUUUAAUCUUUAACAGGAUGAUUGCUUGCUCAUGAACGGGAUUAGAAAAAGAAAGACGCAAAGGCCGGAGCAAUAAUUACACUCCUGCUAAUUAUUUUUUUGGUAUGAAACAACUACAAAAAUCAAACUAUGUUCUAGAAAAUUAUGCGAGUUUCUCUAUAAUUACACUCAUGCUAAUUAUAAAUCGUAUAUAAUGUAGGCUAUAUAAGUUAACUAAGUUUCAAAUUAUAAAAGAAUAAAAACGAAGGUCUUCCGGUUGACCUUGAGAGUUAACUAUCCAUAUCUCCCAACCUCCUCCUCCUCCUCCUCUCUUCACCGGUGACAGAGAAAGAAGUCAAUAUUGUGAAAUAAAUUAAAUGAUUAAUUAGAGAAAACCAUUAUAUAUAAUAUAUAAUUGAGAGAAAGCUUUCAAUUUCAUUACUUAAUCUUAAGGAGCCAACCUUGCUCAUCUAGAAAGAAAAAGCUUGGCUCCUUAAAAUUGAGAAGAAGCUCAUUUUUGCAUUCAAUGUGAUUUUUACACGUGUCAAAUUAUUUUAAUAUCAUUUUUGCUCUUUAUUGAAACUUUGUCAAUAUUGCUAGAAUUUGACAAGUGUCAAAACUCCAUUAAUUUUAAGGAGGAGCUCCUCCAUAAUCUUAAGUUGGAAAAACACGUUGAAGACAAAGUAAAUGACCAAAUAUCAAAAUGUAACAAAUAAUAAUUAAAUUUUCGACCAAAAAAAUAAUAAUUAAAUUAAAUUUUGUUUAUAUUGCAUGUGAAUUGAUAAAAUUUGUCACACAUACAAGAGUUGUCACUAUAAUUACACAAGCUAAUGAGCUAAUAAGAUCCCCUUGAAAAUGUCCAACAAAGCAGCCGUAGAAAUUGGGACGCUGAGUGUAAUGAGAGCAAGCAUUCCCAGAGCCACGCAAGGCCUUGUGUUCAUCAAAUGGGUUUGCAAUAACCCCACGGCUUCAAAGAUGUCCGAAUUGUAAUUAUCAUAAUAUCGCUUUUCCCAUUGCAUCCAAUUUGCUGGGGGUUUAUGAUCAUCAUCUUGCAUCUCCGCUGCCAUCUUCAUGUCGUGAAUUCGCAUUCGAAGAACAAUCAUGUCUUCGUCAACAAGUUUACCAUCGUAGUUAUCACGACCGCACGAUGCGAAAAUCUUCAAAGGAUGCCUCCUCCUCCUCCUCUGCAUCUCAAAUAACCCCGUCUUCAGGUGCGGUCGAUGAAUGCCGGAAUUGGAACAUGGCGGUGUUGGUGGUGGCAGAGCUGAGUGAAGAGAAGAGAUUAGCACUGUGCUAGACAUUAAUUAUAAGCUUGCAAGCCUUCAAAUGUCGGAUUAAGGAUGUGGUGUUGUUUUUGUUUGCGAACAAGGUACGUACAUGGUACAUAUAUAUAGGGGUGGGGUUGUGUGUCCAAUUGGAAGAGAGACCGCGUAGGAAUGACAUGUGGCAUUUUGGCGCGUGACUUUUUUGAGUUGGAUUCCUAGAACAAAAAAGAGUUUGGCACCUAGCUGCCAGGACAGUGAACCCCCAAAAGAAGUUUCAUCCUUUUGAAGUCAUCUCUGAUGAGGUGGCAAAUCUUAUUGUUAAUUAGAUUUCGUAAAUCUGGGGAAACAGUUGUUUUUCCGCGUGAGCAACAGCCGUUUGAUCAUUCAGGUAUUGUUUCUCCUCUUUUCUUUGGACGCAUUCAGUUCAGGCAUAGUUUGAAUUUGAAGCAGCCCAACUCAUUUCCAUAUUUAUCAGUUAUUAUUAUAUCUUAUGAGGGUAUUUUGGUACCUCUAAAAAGACAUCUUCUCAGCAAAUCUUAUCAGCUACAUAAACUGAGAUAGAUGGAUGCAAACGUGACAGUAUUACAAAAUUGUCCUACGCGUUUUAGGUUGCAUUGAUGUGCUCUUCUUCUACAAUCGGAAAAAAGAACACAACAAUAAUAUAACAAAUUAUAAAAACGGGUAACCAUUUUUUGGGCCCCAUUCCUUCAUAUAUCACAUACUAUAUGAUGUAUUUACAUCGAAGUCAAUUCUGAAUUUAAAUGCCGACUUGUAACAAUAUGCUCACCUCUUUGUGCCCGAGUUCGAUCCUUCCCGUAUAUUAGAAUAGUUUACAAUAAAUUUUUGUAAAAAGAAUUUAUGAUUUCAAAUUAUAUUAGCAAUGGAUGCUCAAAGUAGAACUGUAAAUAUGAACAUACUACUAUAUUAGUAUUCAAAGUGUUUAUAUGAGAAUAAACUUCGCGCAGUCUUUGCAAACUGGAUCGACCUGUUUACUAUGACCAACCAUAUAAGAAAAUCAUCUUCGCUCUGGUAGAGCAUAACAUCCAUUAAACGUACAUUCUACAUGAGAUUUUAAGUCAUGUCGCAUAGAAAUGGCUCAUUUGGUCAGCACGAGGCUUCUUUAUUGCUUAACAUAUCUCCUUUACUUAGCACCUGUAUGAAACAAAUCAAUAAAUAGUGGCACAUGUGAUAACAACACUACUAAUGCCCAAUUAAUUACAAACCUUCUAGGACAAAUUCGGGGGCUUGGUCACUUGGGGAAGAUGAUUCAAGUGGCUGGUUUAAUUCAACUUGAUUGAGUGUUACAGGUAGUUCCUUUGGCUGGUUUUGUUCAUCUUGUUCAGUAUUUAAAGGCUCGAGCUGCACCGCUGGUUGGAUUUCGUCAAGAGGUGCGGCCUCCAGCUGCUGGUAUUUCGGUUUGUUUUUCUGAAGGAGAAGGUAAGUGGUGCAAUACAAAAACAACAGUAUUCUACUUUGAGCAAUCAUUGUGUCCCUAAUGUGGCUUCCCCCAAAGGAGAUGCGUUCAAGUGCCUGCAGAAAAAGAAAGAAACAGAGUAGAAGGUAUUAGAUAUAAAACUUCCUCGAGGACAAAAUUGUCCACCUUAUGAGUCAAAUGCAUGUAUCUUGUUUGGCCAUUUCAUAGGUUCUUCCAGAAUUGGUUCUUGUAAUUAGUUUCUUUUAAGUAGAAGGUUUAGAAAUGAAUAAAUUAAGAAACAAUCUCUUAGGAGGGACAAAAGGAAUGGUAAAUUGAAAAUCAUAUACAAAAUUGAUUGGAUCGUUUCUACCUCUAUUUUAGAAACAUGCAAUGAGUAGUAUAACAACAUUCAUACGAGAUAUGACACUGACCACCAAAUACCGACACCUAGAGCUAGAUAUGGUUAGAGGAAGUAUUUAUUUUGAUUCCGUUUCUUGAAAGUUUCCUUGUACCCACCUGUUCUCCAUUUUGAAUAUCGUAAGAAUGCUGAUGAUCAAAUUGAAGACCCCUAAACUCAUUGAUGCAAAGACCCUGAAAAGCCCUGGAAGUGUACAAGGCAAUAUACAUUCGUAAGGUAACGAAAACAAUACUUAAUUGUAUAGUAUCAACAAAAUGUUUGUUUCUUACUGGCAAGUAACCUUUGAUCUUACCAUCUAAUUAGAGAAAUAUGAGGAAUCCAACGAAAGAUAAUUGGUGUAUUCUCUGCAUUGACAUAAUAGCC